ensembl:lncRNA
CACAGACAAUUUAAGAAGUGAAGUUUGUGCGUAACCAUGGACACCAUGGGCGGUGAGGCUCUCGUAUUUCUAGAAUCUCCCGACACCAUUACAGGUCUUACUUCACUGGACGCCUUUUUAUGUUUUGGCAGUUUAGGUGUUAUGACGCUGGUGACGGUGUUAUCUCUUCACCCUGCUCCACCUAGGGAACACAACACAACACAAUGAUAACCUCACUUUAGUACACAACACAAUGAUGAUCUCACUUUAGUAAACAACACAACAAUGAUCUCACUUUAGUACACAACACAAUGAUGAUCUCACUUUAGUACACAACACAACAAUGAUCACACUUUAGUACAUAAUACAACACAACGAUGAGCUCACUUUAGUACACAACACAACGAUGAUCUCACUUUAGUACACAACACAAUGAUGAUCUCACUUUAGUACACAACACAACACAAUGAUGAUCUCACUUUAGUACAUAAUAUAACACAACGAUGAUCUCACUUUAGUACACAACACAAUGAUGAUCUCACUUUAGUACACAACACAACGAUGAUCUCACUUUAGUACACAAUACAACACAACGAUGAUCUCACUUUAGUACACUCUUUAGACGUCAGGAGACAAGAUGGAGGCCGUGUUGUGGCAGUUUGUACAGUGGGUGUUGUGGUGCUCCUGGUCUCUGGCGGGAACCCAGGCUGCACCUACAGGCAUUCCACAGCCAACACUCAACACACCAUUUGACCCAGGCAGCCAAUCAGGUCGCCCAGGCAGCCUGUCUCCAAACCAGUCAGAUCAGUCCUGGGCAAGCAGCCAUCUUGGUUCUACACGCGAGCUGGGUGGGGAACUGAAUGAGGAUUUAUACAUUCUAUUGUUUGAUCUGCAGAAAGAUUAUAUCUCUGUUUUCAUGAUGUUAAACCAGACAUAUUAUGGUGUUUUCCCAAUAAGUAAACAAAGUAUUGGACUUCCAGAAAACAUAUUUGUGAAGCUGUUAGCUGGAAAUAGCUUUUAGGAAAAAAAAAGUUUGCCUGACGCUAUUCCCCUCUGUUUCAGUCCCUUCAGAAUGCACUAUUUCUGGUGUCUGUAGCUUUAAUGCAAAUGAGCUGCUGCCCAUUGACCAAUGAGCUGUCAGACUGAACCACAGCACGGAGGAGGGAUUGUUGCCUUUUGCGGACUCCUGGAGCUCUAUAUCUAUAUAAUAUAAUAAUAAUAUUAUACAUGGGUAUUUAUAUAAUAUUAUAUCUAAUAUCAAGGCCAAAGGCUAUGUGCACCUCGGAUGAUAUGAAUCAUAAAGACUGCGUCUGACGUCUCUGGUACUUCCACAACAGGUAAAGACUUGUAGUGGAGGAUAUCUCGGCCAUGGUUGAGAAUAAUUGGGUGAAAGGAACUUUGGCCUUGACUCUCUGAAGUCCAUGAACCGCGACAUGGAGGAGAAAGGGAUUGUCAGCCAAGCUCACACACACACACACACACACA